AAAGAGAGCAGGGAAUGGAAGCUGCUUGUGUUUUGGGGAAAGUCACACAUCCCUUCCCCUCCCGUUCCUGUUUCAUCAGAAGCAAUGGUGGGAGCCUGGCGCCAACCUGGGAUGCCUGUACUGCUGGUCAUGAAAGGAACAGGGGAGGGGUAGGGAAGGGCAGUUGUGGGAUCACAGCCCUGUACUUGCCCUUUUUGCUCACUGCAGGAGCUUUGUCUGAUGGGGAGGAUGGCAGCAGUCAGUUAUCCCAUGGCUGGACCAUCUGACAGAUCAGAAAGCCAUUCUGUUAGGUUGGGGAACAAUGACCUCUUUGGGAUAUUCUCAGUUGCUUUUUAGUACCAGUUUAGUUUCCCCACUUGUUAGCCACCACAGGCCUUUCUGAAUUUUAACCCUCUCAUCAUUUUGGAAUUCAUACUAGCUCCCCCACUGCUGCCCCUCCUAAAGGAGGAGGGCACCGGCGGCAGCAACUGUUAUUGGCAAGAGCCAUUUGCCUUUACUUAGCUUGAUUCUGGAUGUCCCACUCUAGCCUGCCCAUUUCUCCUCCUCCAUCAUCCCAGAGGCCUGGCUCUGCCCACGCUGUCAAAGCCUGGCUCAUGAAGCAUCCCGGUGUUAAGGUGAACUGGUUGUAAAUCGUAGAUCAUGGUCACACUAUACACACUGAUUAACAUUAGAUUUUUUUUCUUAAAAACAAAAACAAAAAAAACAAGGCAGCUGGAGGGAGAAGUUAAACACAGAGCUUUGUGGCAUGCUCCACAAUAUAAAAGAAUCCCAAGCAUUCAGUUCAGCUGGCAGCAGCUCUGUUUGACUUUCCAGCAUAGGUCUUCAAACCCAGCCCUGGUUACUUCCCUGCUCCUGGCCUCCCCUAGUGAAUUGGGGCUCUCCUCUUCUUUCUUUGCCUUAUGACUGUUUUCUCAGUGACUGGUUGUUUCCUCUGGGAAGAGACUUCUGUUCAGAGGGAGUGUUUGUGCGUAUUUAUAGCCCACAGCCCUGAUCCUGCAGAGACCUAUGCAGUGGACACCAAUCCUGUCUGCAAGGGGUCUCCAGGAUCAGGCCCUGGGUCUGCAGGCUUGCAUGUGAACAUACAUACAUAGGCAGGAUAGUCUCUUGGAAGGAACAUGAGCCCUGCAUUCUGCUUCUCUUCCUCCUCAUCUAGCUUUAGAACUGGUUAUUCAGAUACAGGGCAAUGUCCCUUUUGGAUAUUGAGCAGUUCUCAGGAAUAACUUAGGGCCGGGUAGUCUGCUCUCAAAUUUUCACACACACAGCCUCCAUUCUGCUUAGGCCUCCUCUUCUCAGGAGUUUAGAACAGAGAUGACCAAAGGGUUUUUUUUACUUAGCUGUUCCUCAACUCCUCAGUCCAUUCUUAUGCAUGGCAGCUCCUUCUCUCCCUCCCCUGGUGUGGCAGGCUGACAAACAAGCAAUGAGACAUGGGAAUACUCCUGUAAUAACCCUGAAGAGAAAUGGACAGGGCAUUAAGCCACCCAGUGAAACCCAUCUUUCAAGCUUCCUUCUGUGACCUCCAGUACCACUCUGUGUCCUCAGGACUCUAUUCCCUCUAACCUAGUCCCAAAUCACUGCUGCCACACUCAAAAGACAUUUCCCCAGCCUUCAGAGCUCCGAGUUGCAUCAGUAUCUCUUCCACGCAGGCUUUUUCUCCAGGGCGGGAGGCUGCAUUGGUAGCUGACAGCUACCAAGGCACCACCAGAGUUCGAAGUGAAUAGUUACUUUCUGUUAUGUAGUUCGGGGUUGGAUGGCAAAUUCCAGCAAUCUCAGGGCACUUUUUGACCAAAGACUUUGCUUCCAUGUUUUCCUCCCACACUUAUCAGGCUUCAGCCCAGAAUGCUUCUCAACAGUCACUUCUUCCCACUUGCUACUGCAAAGGGCAAGUCGAGUACCUUAAAGCUACAUCUAAGAACGUGCCUGACCUGCUUCUUUGGAGACCCAGCAAAUCUUCAAACAGAGCUCCAGCUACUGACACAAUAUCAACUGAAUACUGAACAAUAUCAAAUAUACGGUAUAGGAAAAAACAAAACUGAAAUGCUUAAUGGCAUAUUUAUACAUAUUUAUCAACAGUUGACAAAGAGGUGGCGAGUUACACAUCCAUUCUGUAUGCUAACAACCCUGAUGCACAUAUAUGUAAACACACAUGCUCAGCUGAUGCAUCACAUUUUACAUAUAGCCACAUAUCAGAGGAGGUGAUCCUAAAAAAUGUACAGUGGAGGAGGCACCAUCUGUUCUUCUUUCCAAUGCAUGCAAAAUGGACAUUCAGGGCAAUGUUACUUUAAGGUUGCUUCUACGGUUAAAUUACUUCCUGCCCAACCCCCAAUCAAUCUAGGCUGUGUUGAUAUACGUCUUUUUUUUUUUUUUUUUUUUAGAGCCGUUAUGUGCUUAAACAGGCAAGAAAGGGAAACAAGGAGAAAAAAUAAGCCUCUGGAUUGAUCAGUUUGCCCACUUGUGGGAAUCCCUCAUUCAGUGUGUAGCAAUGGCAGUGGUGAAGGGGUGCGUACAGCCUAGAAAGAACACAGGAUCCUCCUCACCCCAAACCUGAUUUGGAACACUCCUACUUUUGAAAGUUACAAAAGAAACACUUCAGGGAAAUAGAAACAUCCCUUAAAGGGGCAGAGGGAGAAAGCAAGAGGAACCUCAUAUCUUAACUGGGUUGAGAAUAAAAACUUCCUGCUUCUGGCUCCGCCAACAGCUGCAAGAUGCUGCAGUCCCCAACUCAAGUACCCACAAGGGGUAGGGAAAAGUGAAAUAGCUUUGUUUAAAAUAUAUUUAUCUAUACAUAUAGAGCAUCUUUUAGAGAGAGAGAGAGACACACUCACGCACACGUUUUAUUACGUAGGAUUUGAGGCGCACACUAUCCUCUUAUGUACAGGGCAACAGCGAUUCUGUUAGUCCAAUGGAGCGGCAUACAGUUAAAGCCACACACAUUUAGUUGGUAACAUCUAGCUUGGAUUUUAACCUACAC